AUCUACACCCAUACCACCCUGAAAGUGCCCAAUCUCGUCUGAUCUCAGAAGCUAAGCAGCGUUGAGCCUUGUUAGUACUUGGAUGGGAAAAAAGAGCGCCAGACUAGAGAGGAUG
rnacentral:rRNA from 1 species